UACGGAGGGGGCUAGCGUUGUUCGGAAUUACUGGGCGUAAAGCGCACGUAGGCGGAUUGUUUAGUCGGGGUGAAAUCCCGGGGCUCAACCCCGGAACGGCCUCCGAUACUGGCAGUCUGGAGUUCGGGAGAGGCGAGUGGAAUUCCGAGUGUAGAGGUGAAAUUCGUAGAUAUUCGGAGGAACACCAGUGGCGAAGGCGGCUCGCUGGCCCGAUACUGACGCUGAGGUGCGAAAGCGUGGGGAGCAAACAGG
rnacentral:rRNA from 1 species